GGGUGCGACCAUAACCGCACUAACGCACCGAAUCCCAUCGGAACUCCGAAGUUAAGCGUGCUUGGGCGAGAGUAGUACUAGGAUGGGUGACCCCCUGGAAAGUCGUGUUGCACCCC
rnacentral:rRNA from 1 species